UGGGGAAUAUUGCACAAUGGGCGCAAGCCUGAUGCAGCCAUGCCGCGUGUAUGAAGAAGGCCUUCGGGUUGUAAAGUACUUUCAGCGGGGAGGAAGGGAGUAAAGUUAAUACCUUUGCCCACUGACGUUACCCGCACAAGAAGCACCGGCUAACUCCGUGCCAGCAGCCGCGGUAAUACGGAGGGUGCAAGCGUUAAUCGGAAUUACUGGGCGUAAAGCGCACGCAGGCGGUUUGUUAAGUCAGAUGUGAAAUCCCCGGGCUCAACCUGGGAACUGCAUCGGAUACUGGCAAGCUUGAGUCUCGUAGAGGGGGGUAGAAUUCCAGGUGUAGCGGUGAAAUGCGUAGAGAUCUGGAGGAAUACCGGUGGCGAAGGCGGCCCCCUGGACGAAGACUGACGCUCAGGUGCGAAAGCGUGGGGAGCAAACAGG
rnacentral:rRNA from 1 species